rnacentral:rRNA from 1 species
GGAUCUGCCUACAGGGCUGGGACAACAGCUGGAACCGGGUGCUAAAACCGGAUGUGCCGAGAGGUGAAAUAUUUAUAGCCUGUAGAUGAACUCGCGUCUGAUUAACUAGUUGGUGAGGUAAGGGCUCACCAAGGCGACGAUCAGUAGCUGGUCUGAGAGGACGAUCAGCCACACUGGGACUGAGACACGGCCCAGACUCCUACGGGAGGCAGCAGUGGGGAAUUUUCCGCAAUGGGCGAAAGCCUGACGGAGCAAUACCGCGUGAGGGAGGAAGGUCUGUGGAUUGUAAACCUCUUUUGAUAGGGAAGAAGUUCUGACGGUACCUAUCGAAUCACCAUCGGCUAUCUCCGUGCCACCAGCCGCGGUAAUACGGAGGAUGCAAGCGUUAUCCGGAUUUAUUGGGCGUAAAGCGUCCGUAGGUGGUUAAUCAAGUCUAUUGUCAAAGCCUGGGGCUUAACCCUGGAGAGGCGGUGGAAACUGGUUAACUUGAGUGCGGUAGGGGCAGAGGGAAUUCCCAGUGUAGCGGUGAAAUGCGUAGAUAUUGGGAAGAACACCGGUGGCGAAAGCGCUCUGCUGGGCCUGCACUGACACUGAGGGACGAAAGCUAGGGGAGCG